GUGUCAGCAGCCGCGGUAAUACGGACCGUCCAAACGUUAUUCGGAAUCACUGGGCUUAAAGGGUGCGUAGGCGGUCCGGUAAGUCGGGUGUGAAAUACCUCAGCUCAACUGAGGAACUGCGCCCGAAACUGCCGGGCUGGAGGGAGACAUAGGUGAGCGGAACCUAGGGUGGAGCGGUGAAAUGCGUUGAGAUCCUAGGGAACACCAGUAGCGAAAGCGGCUCACUGGGUCUCUUCUGACGCUGAUGCACGAAAGCCAGGGGAGCGAAGAGGAUUAGAUACCCUCGUAGUCCUGGCCGUAAACGAUGAGCACUGGUUUGGAGGCUCCUCCAUAGGCUUCCAGACGUAGCGAAAGUGUUAAGUGCUCCGCCUGGGGAGUAUGGUCGCAAGGCUGAA
rnacentral:rRNA from 1 species